ACGACAACUAUCUAGGGUUCCGCUCGGCUUCCGUUCAUAUGGUUUCUGAGGACUGGUCCAAGAGAUAGGCUACGGCAGAUGGCGCGGUAACCGCAGCUGCUGUAUGACACGGAAGGACAAAAGCCUGGGAGAU
rnacentral:sRNA from 1 species